rnacentral:rRNA from 1 species
UACGGAGGGGGCUAGCGUUGUUCGGAAUUACUGGGCGUAAAGCGCGCGUAGGCGGACCUGCAAGUCGGGGGUGAAAGCCCGAGGCUCAACCUCGGAACUGCCUUCGAUACUGCGGGUCUCGAGUCCGGGAGAGGUGAGUGGAAUUCCUAGUGUAGAGGUGAAAUUCGUAGAUAUUAGGAAGAACACCAACGGCGAAGGCAGCUCGCUGGGACGGUACUGACGCUGAGACGCGAAAGCGUGGGGAGCAAACAGG